GACGAACGCUGGCGGCGUGCUUAACACAUGCAAGUCGAACGGAAAGGCCCUGCUUUUGUGGGGUGCUCGAGUGGCGAACGGGUGAGUAACACGUGAGUAACCUGCCCUUGACUUUGGGAUAACUUCAGGAAACUGGGGCUAAUACCGGAUAGGAGCUCCUGCUGCAUGGUGGGGGUUGGAAAGUUUCGGCGGUUGGGGAAGGACUCGCGGCUUAUCAGCUUGUUGGUGGGGUAGUGGCUUACCAAGGCUUUGACGGGUAGCCGGCCUGAGAGGGUGACCGGCCACAUUGGGACUGAGAUACGGCCCAGACUCCUACGGGAGGCAGCAGUGGGGAAUAUUGCACAAUGGGCGGAAGCCUGAUGCAGCAACGCCGCGUGCGGGAUGACGGCCUUCGGGUUGUAAACCGCUUUCGCCUGUGACGAAGCGUGAGUGACGGUAAUGGGUAAAGAAGCACCGGCUAACUACGU
rnacentral:rRNA from 1 species